rnacentral:rRNA from 1 species
GACGAACGCUGGCGGCGUGCUUAACACAUGCAAGUCGAAUGGAAAGGCCCUGCUUUUGUGGGGUGCUCGAGUGGCGAACGGGUGAGUAACACGUGAGUAACCUGCCCUUGACUUUGGGAUAACUUCAGGAAACUGGGGCUAAUACCGGAUAGGAGCUCCUGCUGCAUGGUGGGGGUUGGAAAGUUUCGGCGGUUGGGGAUGGACUCGCGGCUUAUCAGCUUGUUGGUGGGGUAGUGGCUUACCAAGGCUUUGACGGGUAGCCGGCCUGAGAGGGUGACCGGCCACAUUGGGACUGAGAUACGGCCCAGACUCCUACGGGAGGCAGCAGUGGGGAAUAUUGCACAAUGGGCGGAAGCCUGAUGCAGUAACGCCGCGUGCGGGAUGACGGCCUUCGGGUUGUAAACCGCUUUCGCCUGUGAUGAAGCGUGAGUGACGGUAAUGGGUAAAGAAGCACCGGCUAACUACGUG